rnacentral:piRNA from 1 species
UCCAUAAGGGUUUAAGAGGUGG